GACGAACGCUGGCGGCGUGCUUAACACAUGCAAGUCGUACGGUAAGGCCCUUUCGGGGGUACACGAGUGGCGAACGGGUGAGUAACACGUGAGUAACCUGCCCACAACUUUGGGAUAACGCUAGGAAACUGGUGCUAAUACUGGAUAUGUGCUCCUGCUGCAUGGUGGGGGUUGGAAAGCUCCGGCGGUUGUGGAUGGACUCGCGGCCUAUCAGCUUGUUGGUGGGGUAGUGGCCUACCAAGGCGGCGACGGGUAGCCGGCCUGGGAGGGUGACCGGCCACAUUGGGACUGAGAUACGGCCCAGACUCCUACGGGAGGCAGCGGGGGGGAAUAUUGCACAAUGGGCACAAGCCUGAUGCAGCAACGCCGCGUGCGGGAUGACGGCCUUCGGGUUGGAAACCGCUUUCAGCAGGGACGAAGCUUUUUGUGACGGUACCUGCAGAAGAAGCACCGGCUAACUACGUG
rnacentral:rRNA from 1 species